UCAUUUUAUACAACAUUAACCAUAAACACAAUGGUGAAAGAACUUCCUGGUUAAACAGAAGAUUCACUUAUUCUUCAUACAAUGCUUUCAUUUGAAAACUACUCUUCAGUUCCAAACAAGUUGGGGUUGGCUAUAUGAAUCCUCGUUGCUUCGUUUAAGCUCAACUCGUGUCAUCAUCGUACAAUAACAUGAAUAACAAAUAAAGAAAGAAAAAUAAGAUAAUUUAGACGAUUGUGGUGUGCAGUGGUUCUACUUUUCAACAAGUGGACAGUCAACAUCGAGAUAAUGCUCAACUUUACUCAAAACAAAGGGAAAAAAGGCAGCACACCUGCAACCUCCAUUUGGAUAGUGAAGCUUUAAGCAUGUUUUGGAAGACAAUC
rnacentral:lncRNA from 1 species